GACUCUAGUUUGACAUUGUGAAAAAACAUAGGGGGUGUAGCAUAAGUGGGAGCUCCGGCGCCAGUGAAAUACCACUACCCCUAUCGUUUUUUUACUUAUUCAAUGAAGCAGGACUGCUCGGCAACGAGCACCUUGUAGCGUUACUUUCCUCCAUUGCGCGGGGAAAAACCUGGGUUGAAGACAUUGUCAGGUGGGUAG
rnacentral:rRNA from 1 species